rnacentral:rRNA from 1 species
UAAUAGUGUAUAUUAAAGUUGUUGCAGUUAAAAAGCUCGUAGUUGAAUGUUGGUGUCGAACGAGCGGUCAGCUUCGGCUGUACUGCUCUCUCGACUCCUUCCUUCUGUGGACUACGUCGCACUUUACUGUGUGGCGCUAGGACGCAGAUCGUUUACUGUGAAAAAAUUAGAGUGUUCAAAGCAGGCCGUACGCUUGAAUACAUUAGCAUGGAAUAAUGGAAUAGGACGUCGGGCCUAUUUUGUUGGUUCUAGGACCGUCGUAAUGAUUAAUAGGGACAGUUGGGGCCGUUUAUAUUCCGUAGUCAGAGGUGAAAUUCUUGGAUUUAUGAAAGACGAACGACUGCGAAAGCAUUUACCAAGGAUGUUUUCAUUAA